GAUGGUAUAGCUCGGUGGUAGAGCACUUGCUUAGCAUGCACGAGCUCCUGGGUUCAAUCCUCAGUACUUCCG
rnacentral:tRNA from 1 species